CGUGGAGCCACACCGCACAAUGGCAGACAGCAGGCAGAACAUAGGAACAAGCUUCGCUACGCAGGACAGAAUGAGGCUGCCAUUUGCAGGGGGAAGUGACGUCAGGCUGGUUCAUCAGUUACGGAAGAAACCGGCAGCUGGGUUACAUUCGUUUUAGCCUCUCAGAUUAACGAUCAUCAGGCCGCGCUUCCCUUUCAUAAGCUAGCAGGCCCAGGAGGAAGACUGAACUUCCACAGUCUCUUGUGUGGCUGGGACCACAGCUGUGGCCAUGGGGUGGUAAGCAGAAAAGACAUGGGUCCCCUGCCAGGAGGAGCAUGGACAGCCUUCCAGAGCCUUUUGCUUUGCUGUCACCAUCAGGCAGGUUCAAGACAGUGAUGGUUCCUUCAGCCUAGAUACCUGAGCGCCUGCACCAGACAGCGGCCUCACCCAUGCACGACCAGACGCUUGUGCAGUGUUUGUCCUAAACCUUUCUUCUGAAGCACUGAUAUCUUGAGGGUUUGUUUUUUUUUUUAACUGCAACAUAAUCUUGCUCUCCCAACUGAAACCAAAGGAUAUGAAC
ensembl:lncRNA